rnacentral:rRNA from 5 species
UAAGCCUGUGAAGGUGUGUCGUGAGGCAUGCUGGAGGUAUCAGAAGUGCGAAUGCUGACAUAAGUAACGAUAAAGCGGGUGAAAAGCCCGCUCGCCGGAAGACCAAGGGUUCCUGUCCAACGUUAAUCGGGGCAGGGUGAGUCGACCCCUAAGGCGAGGCCGAAAGGCGUAGUCGAUGGGAAACGGGUUAAUAUUCCCGUACUUGGUGUUACUGCGAAGGGGGGACGGAGAAGGCUAUGUUGGCCGGGCGACGGUUGUCCCGGUUUAAGCGUGUAGGUGUGUGUUCCAGGUAAAUCCGGUU